rnacentral:rRNA from 1 species
AACGAACGCUGGCGGCAUGCCUAACACAUGCAAGUCGAACGAGACCUUCGGGUCUAGUGGCGCACGGGUGCGUAACGCGUGGGAAUCUGCCCUUGGGUUCGGAAUAACAGUUAGAAAUGACUGCUAAUACCGGAUGAUGUCUUCGGACCAAAGAUUUAUCGCCCAAGGAUGAGCCCGCGUCGGAUUAGCUAGUUGGUGAGGUAAAGGCUCACCAAGGCGACGAUCCGUAGCUGGUCUGAGAGGAUGAUCAGCCGCACUGGGACUGAGACACGGCCCAGACUCCUACGGGAGGCAGCAGUGGGGAAUAUUGGACAAUGGGCGAAAGCCUGAUCCAGCAAUGCCGCGUGAGUGAUGAAGGCCUUAGGGUUGUAAAGCUCUUUUACCCGGGAUGAUAAUGACAGUACCGGGAGAAUAAGCCCCGGCUAACUCCGUGCCAGCCGCCGCCGUAAAGA